CCCUUAGAUGUUCUGGGCUGCACACGUGCUACACUGGCAGGUUCAGCGAGCUUCAUGCCCUGACCUGAAAGGAAUGGGAAAUCUUUUCAAAACCUGCCGUGCUUGGGAUAGAUGUUUGCAAUUAUUCAUCUUCAACGAGGAUUGCCUUGUAAGCGCACGUCAUCAGCGUGCAUUGAAUACGACCCUGUAUUCUGUACACACCGCCCGUCGCUCCUACCGAUUGAAGUUUUCGGUGAGUUGACAGGAGGAUUUUUUUGAAACUGGUUCGCCAGUGGAUUUUAGAUCCAAAUGCCAACGAAUCGAUGGCUUUAGAGGAAGGAGAAGUCGUAACA
rnacentral:rRNA from 1 species